GAACGAAGUGAUAAUCAAAUUCGACAUCUUUCGUUCAUGCAUGGAAGACCGGGUGAACAGCCCUAGACCCAGAUCGCAAAGCACGUAGGAAAGUCAUAGGAGUUCAGAUGCGGUGACGGCAAGAGCUUUAUAUUCGGCCUCGGCGCUAGACCUGGACACAGUCGCUUCUUUCUUUGUGCCCCAAGAGAGAAGAUUGGUGCUAAGGAAAACAGAGUAAGCAGUAGUGGAGCGGCGAUCAUCCGGGCAAGCAGCUUUCAUUUUAUUAAAUAGUUUGGUAGGGCUUUCAUGGUAUUGGUUGGGGUAAGGGAGUUGGAGUAUAGCCGGGUAA
rnacentral:misc_RNA from 1 species